GGUGAUACCAGACACACACCAAGCACAUUAUGUUCGGACAUUCAAUCAUGACAGGAUCCAGGUGGAUGCUGUCCAUUGAUGAAAGAGUUUGUUCAGAGGUUUCUGGAUAGAAUUAAUUCCAAAGAUGGGAAAAAGUGCACAUCCAGACAAGGAGCAAGCAAAAAGACAAGGAACUUGGUGCAGAGAAAAGCUGUGGCCAUUAACCCCCAUGUGAACAGCUUCAUGCAGUCCCUGAUUGAGUUCGAAUGGACGACUUCAAAGUAAAGGCCACUGUG